GACAGAGGGUGCAAACGUUGUUCGGAAUUACUGGGCGUAAAGCGCGUGUAGGCGGCCCAGCAAGUCGGAUGUGAAAGCCCUGGGCUUAACCUAGGAAGUGCAUUCGAAACUGCUGGGCUUGAGUUCUGGAGAGGAAGGCGGAAUUCUCGGUGUAGAGGUGAAAUUCGUAGAUAUCGAGAGGAACACCGGUGGCGAAGGCGGCCUUCUGGACAGUGACUGACGCUGAGACGCGAAAGCGUGGGGAGCAAACAGGG
rnacentral:rRNA from 1 species